rnacentral:rRNA from 1 species
UACGGAGGGUGCAAGCGUUAUCCGGAUUCACUGGGUUUAAAGGGUGCGUAGGAGGACAGGUAAGUCAGUGGUGAAAUCUCCGAGCUUAACUUGGGAACUGCCGUUGAUACUAUUUGUCUUGAAUAUUGUGGAGGUAAGCGGAAUAUGUCAUGUAGCGGUGAAAUGCUUAGAUAUGACAUAGAACACCAAUUGCGAAGGCAGCUUACUACACAGUUAUUGACGCUGAGGCACGAAAGCGUGGGGAUCAAACAGG